rnacentral:rRNA from 1 species
GACGAACGCUGGCGGCGUGCUUAACACAUGCAAGUCGAACGGAAAGGCCCUGCUUUUGUGUGGUGCUCGAGUGGCGAACGGGUGAGUAACACGUGAGUAACCUUCCCUUUACUUUGGGAUAACUUCAGGAAACUGGUGCUACUACCGGCUAGGAGCUCCUGCUGCAUGGUGGGGUUUGGACAGUUUCGGCGGAUGGGGAUGGACUCGCGGCUUAUCAGCUUGUUGGUGGGGUAGUGGCUUACCAAGGCUUUGACGGGUAGCCGGCCUGAGAGGGUGACCGGCGACAUUGGGACUGAGAUACGGCCCAGACGCCUACGGGAGGCAGCAGUGGGGAAUAUUGCACAAUGGGCGGAAGCCUGAGGCAGAAACGCCGCGUGCGGGAUGAAGGCCUUCGGGUGGUAAACCGCUUUCGCCUGUGACGAAGCGUGAGUGACGGUAAUGGGUAAAGAAGCACCGGCUAACUACGUG